rnacentral:misc_RNA from 1 species
AAGUCGUAACAAGGUUUCCGUAGGUGAACCUGCGGAAGGAUCAUUGUCGAUAUAUUCGAGGGAAACCUCGUUCAAUAUAUUACAAACACCUCGUGCACCUCUACGUGAAAGGAAGUGAAAGGGUUCGUCCCCCUCUUCCGUUCCGUAUUUUUCUUAUAAAUGCCUUCUGUCGUUUAACGCGUGUAUUUUGAAUAAUUUGAAAAUUAAAACACAACUUUCAACAACGGAUCUCUUGGCUUUC